rnacentral:rRNA from 1 species
CAGUCGCCGCGGUAAUACAGAGGAUGCAAGCGUUAUCCGGAAUGAUUGGGCGUAAAGCGUCUGUAGGUGGCUUUUCAAGUCCGCCGUCAAAUCCCAGGGCUCAACCCUGGACAGGCGGUGGAAACUACCAAGCUGGAGUAUGGUAGGGGCAGAGGGAAUUUCCGGUGGAGCGGUGAAAUGCGUUGAGAUCGGAAAGAACACCAACGGCGAGAGCACUCUGCUGGGCCGACACUGACACUGAGAGACGAAAGCUAGGGGAGCAAAUGGGAUUAGAUACCCCCGUAGUCCCUGUCUCUUAUAA